AUGGCGCGGCAACUGGUUGCUGCGGUGGCCGCUCUGGUGGCGGUGUGCGCCCUGGCGGCCGCCGCCGGCGUCCAGGCCCAGCCGCCGAGGAAGCUGCCGCCCAACUACCACAUGAUCAGCCCGGGCAAGUUCGGGCAGAGGAGCCAGCAGCUGUCGUGCAAGGACACCAACGGCAGGAAGGCGGGGUGCAUGGGCAAGUGCGACAAGCGCUGCCCCAACCAGUGCAUCGUCCUCUGCCCCAGCUGCAAGACAUACUGCAUGUGCGACUUCUACGCUGGCGUGUCCUGCGGCGACCCGCGCUUCACCGGCGGCGACGGCAACAACUUCUACUUCCACGGCAAGAAGGACCAGGACUUCUGCAUCGUCUCCGACGCCGACCUCCACAUCAACGCCCACUUCAUCGGCAAGCGCAACCCCUCCAUGAGCCGCGACUUCACCUGGAUCCAGGCCCUCGGCAUCCGCUUCGCCCACCACCGUCUCUUCAUGGGAGCCCUCAAGACCACCAGCUGGAACGGCGACGUCGACCACCUCGAGAUGUCCUUCGACGACGCGGCCAUCGAGAUCCCGGCCGAGGCCGGCGCGCGGUGGCAGUCGGCCGCCGUGCCAGGGCUGACCCUCACGAGGACUGCGGCCACCAACGGAGUGAGGGUGCACCUGAGGGGCGUGUUCGACAUCAUGGCCAACGUGGUGCCCAUCACCGAGGAGGACUCGCGCAUCCACAACUACGGCGUCGCGGGGUCGGGCGACAGCCUCGCGCACCUUGACAUCGGGUUCAAGUUCCAUGACCUCACCGACGACGUGCACGGCGUGCUCGGCCAGACCUACCGCUCCGACUACGUGAACGAGAUGAGCGUGCGCGCCAACAUGCCUGUCAUGGGUGGUGCGCCAAACUAUGUCUCGUCCGACAUCUUUGCCGCCGACUGCGCCGUCUCCAGGUUCGGCCGCAACACAGGCAUCUCCAUGGUCACCAAGUCCGACUGA
rnacentral:rRNA from 1 species